rnacentral:rRNA from 1 species
GACGGAGGGUGCUAGCGUUGUUCGGAUUUACUGGGCGUAAAGGGCGCGUAGGCGGCCAGAUCAGUCGGGUGUGAAAGCCCGGGGCUCAACCCCGGAACGGCACCCGAGACGGUUUGGCUGGAGACCGGGAGAGGAGGGUGGAAUAGCCAGUGUAGAGGUGAAAUUCGUAGAUAUUGGCUGGAACACCGGUGGCGAAGGCGGCUCUCGUGGGACGGUACUGACGGCUGAGACGCGAAAGCGUGGGGAGCGAACAGG